rnacentral:rRNA from 1 species
GAACGCUGGCGGCAGGCUUAACACAUGCAAGUCGAGCGGGGGAAGGUAGCUUGCUACCGGACCUAGCGGCGGACGGGUGAGUAAUGCUUAGGAAUCUGCCUAUUAGUGGGGGACAACAUCUCGAAAGGGAUGCUAAUACCGCAUACGUCCUACGGGAGAAAGCAGGGGAUCUUCGGACCUUGCGCUAAUAGAUGAGCCUAAGUCGGAUUAGCUAGUUGGUGGGGUAAAGGCCUACCAAGGCGACGAUCUGUAGCGGGUCUGAGAGGAUGAUCCGCCACACUGGGACUGAGACACGGCCCAGACUCCUACGGGAGGCAGCAGUGGGGAAUAUUGGACAAUGGGGGGAACCCUGAUCCAGCCAUGCCGCGUGUGUGAAGAAGGCCUUAUGGUUGUAAAGCACUUUAAGCGAGGAGGAGGCUACUUUAGUUAAUACCUAGAGAUAGUGGACGUUACUCGCAGAAUAAGCACCGGCUAACUCUGUGCCAGCAGCCGCGGUAAUACAGAGGGUGCGAGCGUUAAUCGGAUUUACUGGGCGUAAAGCGUGCGUAGGCGGCUUAUUAAGUCGGAUGUGAAAUCCCCGAGCUUAACUUGGGAAUUGCAUUCGAUACUGGUGAGCUAGAGUAUGGGGAGAGGAUGGUAGAAUUCCAGGUGUAGCGGUGAAAUGCGUAGAGAUCUGGGAGGAAAUACCGAUGGCGAAGGCAGCCAUCUGGCCUAAUACUGACGCUGAGGUACGAAAGC